UUACCUCAGUAACGGCGAGUGAAGCGGUAACAGCUCAAAUUUGAAAUCUGGCUCCUGCGGAGUCCGAGUUGUAAUUUGUAGAAGAUGCUUUGGGAGGUAGGCUCGGCCUAAGUUCCUUGGAACAGGACAUCAGAGAGGGUGAGAAUCCCGUAUGUGGCCGUGGCCUACGCCCGUGUAAAGCUCUUUCGACGAGUCGAGUUGUUUGGGAAUGCAGCUCAAAAUGGGUGGUAAAUUUCAUCUAAAGCUAAAUAUUGGCCAGAGACCGAUAGCGCACAAGUAGAGUGAUCGAAAGAUGAAAAGCACUUUGGAAAGAGAGUUAAACAGUACGUGAAAUUGUUGAAAGGGAAGCGCUUGCACCCAGACUUGGGCGUCGUCGAUCAUCCGAGGUUCUCCUCGGUGCACUCGGCGAGGCACAGGCCAGCAUCGGUUUGGAUGGUUGGAGAAAGGCUCUAGGAACGUAGCUCUCUUCGGGGAGUGUUAUAGCCUAGGGCGUAAUGCAGCCCAUCUGGACCGAGGACCGCGCCUUCGGGCUAGGAUGCUGGCGUAAUGGUUGCAAG
rnacentral:rRNA from 1 species